rnacentral:rRNA from 1 species
CUGCAGCCCGAGUGGUGAUCGAUUUUAUUGAGCCUAAAGCGUCCGUAGCCGGACUAGUAAACCCUUGGGUAAAUUGGGCAGCUUAACUGUCCAAAUUCCGAGGGGACUGCUAGUCUUGGGGCCGGGAGAGGUCAGAGGUACUCAAGGGGUAGGGGCUAAAUCCUGUAAUCCUUUGGGGACCACCAGUGGCGAAGGCGUCUGACUAGAACGGAUCCGACGGUAAGGGACGAAACCCUGGGGCGCGAACCGGAUUAGAUACCCGAGUAGUCC